CGUAGGGUAACCUGCCUUAUAGUGGGGGAGUAGCCUUUCGAAAGGAAGAUUAAUACCGCAUAAGAUUGUAGUAUCGCAUGAUAUAGCAAUUAAAGGAAGCAAUCCGCUAUAAGAUGGACCCGCGUCGCAUUAGCUAGUUGGUGAGGUGAUGGCUCACCAAGGCGACGAUGCGUAGCCGACCUGAGAGGGUGAUCGGCCACAUUGGGACUGAGACACGGCCCAGACUCCUACGGGAGGCAGCAUG
rnacentral:rRNA from 1 species